CCCUCGAAAUUCUGUGGCGAGGUGAUUCAGUCUGGUGCUGCGGACGCGGAACCGGAAGUUUACUUUAGGGCUUCCUGGUAACAGGGCCGUCCAGAUCCGCGUUUUUCGCGGUCACAGACGCAUUUCUCUCGUCCCAAGGACGCCGCAGCCGGUCGGGCAGUUCAAGCAUGUCGGCCUGAAGGUGGGGAGCGGGCAGGUGGCCGGUGGCGAGUUUCGAUUCGUCGUCGGUUGUUAGCCAUCCCCUCAGUGGCUCGACGUUCGACCGUGGUGUCUCAAGGCCCUGAAAGGGCUUCCUCGUCUCCAUCCCGGUGGGACAGACGGUCGCAGGCGGACUCCGUUACUGCGUCGCACUCCCUCGGAGUGGUCGUGCGAACGGAGGGCGCCGUUGGCGGCUGCGGACCCGUGGGGGACCGGAGGCUAGCGGCGAGUAGGUCGGUCACCCUCCCGACCCGUCUUGAAACACGGACCAAGGAGUCUAACAUGUGCGCGAGUCAAUGGGUCUUGAACAGGCCCAUGGGCGCAAUGAAAGCGAAGGUCGUGUCGGGAUCCUCUCCCUCUCAGGGGAGGGGGGCACCGACGACCCGUCCUAUUCGGCUCGCCGUUUGGACGGAGUCUGAGCGUACACGUUGGGACCCGAAAGAUGGUGAACUAUGCCUGGACAGGACGAAGCCAGGGGAAACUCUGGUGGAGGUCCGAAGCGGUUCUGACGUGCAAAUCGAUCGUCAGAUCUGGGUAUAGGGGCGAAAGACUAAUC
rnacentral:rRNA from 2 species